rnacentral:lncRNA from 1 species
GCAGGGGAUUGUUGUGUGUUUUACACUAUCCAGACUGAGAGUGGGAGCAGGGGAUUGUUGUGUGUUUUACACUAUCCAGACUGAGAGUGGGAGCAGGGGAUUGUUGUGUGUUUUACACUAUCCAGACUGAGAGUGGGAGCAGGGGAUUGUUGUGUGUUUUACACUAUCCAGACUGAGAGUGGGAGCAGGGAUUGUUGUGUGUUUUACACUAUCCAGACUGAGAGUGGGAGCAGGGAUUGUUGUGUGUUUUACACUAUCCAGACUGAGAGUGGGAGCAGGGGAUUGUUGUGUGUUUUACACUAUCCAGACUGAGAGUGGGAGCAGGGAUUGUUGUGUGUUUUACACUAUCCAGACUGAGAUGGGAGCAGGGGAUUGUUGUGUGUUUUACACUAUCCAGACUGAGAGCCUUCAGGAUGAUAAGCACAAGCUUCUCAAGCCCUCUUCUAUGUGUCUGUCUCUUCUGGUCUUUUCGUAAAUGGGGGAUUUUUCUACCUAGGAGUUUUCUUCGUUGGAGUUUGGAAUCCCAUCCACCUAUUUCAUUCGCUCAUCCCAAAUACUCAUUUUAUGUAAGAUAAUACUACCCAAAACCUGAUAAACAUUAGCUGUGAAUUUCUAUGUAAGAACUAGUAAGGAAAAGGUUCAACUCUAAACCUAGUCUGAGGACGCUGAGUUAAAGCUGCAUGUGAAUGCUACUUAAGUGCAUCUUUUCUAUUGUCUCUAGAUGUUUCCUGUGAGAGGUAAAAGUCCUGUAGGCAACAUGUGUAAGAGAGAUGUGAAUAUUCUUCCUUUUUGCCAAAACAAAGAUGCCAACAUGUACCAGGGGUGUAUUCACUAGGAACCAAACAGAAGCAAACGGGCCGAAACGGGGAGGGACUAACCUGAACUUGUCCAAUAACAAACGCACAUUUUUGUUGCAAAUCGUUUUCUGUAGCUAAACAUUUUGCUAUGGUGUCUGCUAAUGAAUACACCCCAGUGAUGUUACUCCAACCCCAAAACAUGUAUUAAGACCUUCAACUUUUCAUACAACAGUGUGUUUCCCCCUCAGUAUACAACAAGACUGAUGUGUCAAUGCAAUAAUGGACCGCAGAUAGCAAGGUUUCCUGGUGGUUUGUGGUAUGUUUCCGGUCUCUCACGGUGUGUAGGGUGGACGAGGAGAGAACAGAUACCCCUGCUGUAACAUGGCUCUUCCUGGCAUGCGUUCAGUUGUCUAAUUAAACAUUUC